GACAUUUGGUGAUACUGAAAGCCGUUUCCAAGCUGCUUCAAUAAAGCUCUUCACAUAGGAAACUACAGAGGGAGCAUUUGGAAGGGCAAAGAGAGAAGAAUUCAAACCCUGGAAAAGGUACAUGUGAUACCAAAUGAGGCCACGAAACGGGGCCAUGUUUUGUAAACCAGAGCUAAUAUUUUCCAUCUGUAACCAAGUACAAGACUGAUGAAGGACAUGAAGAAUAUUCUGCAAUGGAGAAGGUCUGGAAGAAGAAAUCCCUACUCUUUAAAAAUAAUUAAAAAUAAAAAAGCAAGCAAAACAAAAAACCAAAAGCACCAAACUGCAUUUGAGUUUAUUUCUCUCAUUAUAAUUUGUAGUGUCCUGAAAAUGAAUGCUAUUUUUUUUUUACAGCAAAGUGUACCUUAAACAGCUCAAAGCAGCUAUGAGCAAACUGAUUCUCCAGAGAGACCUUUGUA